UACGUAGGGGGCAAGCGUUGUCCGGAAUUAUUGGGCGUAAAGCGCGUGUAGGCGGCCAGAUAAGUCCGCUGUGAAAUCUCGAGGCUCAACUUCGAGCUGUCGGUGGAAACUAUCUGGCUAGAGUCCGGAAGAGGAGAAUGGAAUUCCUGGUGUAGCGGUGAGAUGCGCAGAUAUCAGGAAGAACACCCGUGGCGAAGGCGGUUCUCUGGGACGGUACUGACGCUGAGACGCGAAAGCGUGGGGAGCGAACAGG
rnacentral:rRNA from 1 species